rnacentral:rRNA from 1 species
GACGAACGCUGGCGGCGUGCUUAACACAUGCAAGUCGAACGGAAAGGCCCUGCUUGCCGGGUACUCGAGUGGCGAACGGGUGAGUAACACGUGGGUGAUCUGCCCUGCACUUCGGGAUAAGCCUGGGAAACUGGGUCUAAUACCGGAUAGGAGCCAUUUUUAGUGUGAUGGUUGGAAAGUUUUUUCGGUGUAGGAUGAGCUCGCGGCCUAUCAGCUUGUUGGUGGGGUAAUGGCCUACCAAGGCGGCGACGGGUAGCCGGCCUGAGAGGGUGGACGGCCACAGUGGGACUGAGAGACGGCCCAGACUCCGACGGGAGGCAGAAGGGGGGAAGAUUGCACAAGGGGCGCAAGCCUGAUGCAGCGACGCCGCGUGGGGGAGGACGGCCUUCGGGUUGUAAACUCCGUUCGCUAGGGACGAAGCUUUUUGUGACGGUACCUAGAGAAGAAGCACCGGCUAACUACGUG